rnacentral:rRNA from 1 species
UCGGAAGCUAAGCAGAGUCGGGCCUGGUUAGUACUUGGAUGGGUGACCGCCUGGGAAUACCAGGUGCUGUAAGCUU